AAUCGAUCUUGAAGAAUUAUUCAUUAAUAAUAUAAAUAAAAUGGGCCAUUAUCCACCACCCACUAACACUCUGAGCCAGGUUUUGUCAACAUAUUACAACCAACUAAUUCAAAAUAAAACAAGCAUAUAUUUCAAUGAUACAUAUAUACUAGCACACACGAACAAGACAUAUAAACUUAAGCAAUCUACUUGAUACACAAUUUCUUUAUUAGGUCUUCAAUAAGUUUCACCACGUUGUUGUACGAUGUACGAGCCAGCUUCACAAACAGCAUUCUGAGCCAAUUUUGCGAACCUCUCCACAGAUUUGGGAAUGUGCUCACUUGCAUGAUCUUCCCUCAAAUCCCUUACAUCAGACUUAUCCUUCAUAUCAAACCCACUCUUCCAAACCUCAUCACCAGAUAACACAACAAAUUAUUCCAAUGAAAAGUGAAAUAUAAUAUCACCAGCUAGCUAGCUAGCUAGUUCUGGUGUUGCAAAUUUCUAAUGUAUUCGAUCAGCUGCUCCAAGUUGUUGUGAGAAGAUCCACCUUCGGCAACACUGUCACGAGCCAAUUUCGAAAUGGCAUCCAUGGAGCUCUGGAUCUCCUCCCCUUUGGGUCCCAUCAAAGUUUGUACCAUGCUCUCAAUGUUGGACCGGUCACAAUUUUCAUUCAAUUGGAGACCAAUCUUCCACUGCUGGCAAACAGUUCUGCUAAUAAUAUAAUGGUCCCCAAACUUCGGCCAAGAGAUCAUGGGCAGCCCGGCCACAAUGCUUUCAAGCGUCGAGUUCCACCCACUGUGGGUCAAAAACCCACCUACCGAUUUGUGGGCCAGCACCUCCUCCUGCGAAACCCAAUCCACUACGUACCCUCUUUCUUUCGUACCCUUUUCCAGCUCUGUGGGAAUUUGGUGGUCCCCAGAUGUGAUGUCGGACCUCAUGACCCACAAGAAUGGGUGUCCACUGUUGACCAGGCCGUACCAAAACUCUAUCACCUGGGCACGUGUCAAGUGGACCAAAGUCCCGAAGCUGACGUAGAUAACUGAUUUGGAUGGCUGGGAGUCAAGCCACGUCAUGCAGUUUAGGUCGCUUUUCCAAAGAGAGCCGUGAGAUGCUAGACCUCGGGACACAUCACCUAUUUGGGAGUUGAGGAGAGCGUGGAGUGGUCCGAGGGUGUAAAUCUUGGAAAAUAUGGGGGCCAUGUGGGAGAGGAUUUGAGCAUCGAGCUCAGAAACUGUGUCGAGAAUGAGAGCCGAGGCUCGUUUUAGGAUUUGGCACUCGUUGAUAAAGAAUUGAAGAGUUGGGUGGUUAGCUUGUUUGACUAGGCAAAAACCUGGCAAGUCUUGACGAUACAAAAGGCCUUCCAUUCCGGGGACUCCAGUAAUUUCCACAGUCAUGUCAUCAUCUGUUUAUAACUCACAAAUCACUGUAGACAAAGAAAUUUUGGUGCAAUAAAUUUCAUUGACAAGAAAAUAAUUAGGGUUCGGUGGAUUAAAUCGUGGGCCCCGUAAUUCGCCCACGUGGCGUGUGACUCAUCAAGAUCGAAUUAGUUGUCAAAAAUGACAAAUGGCGACAUCCGACGGAGUGCAUCAAACGGUUCAAGAUGAAGACAAAAUUAAAGGAAAGAAUCUUCUGUGAUUGACUUUGAUUUAAAUCAAAUAUUAAUCAGGUUAAUCAAUUAAAGAUAAUCUGGUUAAAUUGCCAGAUUAUGGGAAUUGAUUUAAAUCAAAUCAGAAUCCCACAAAUCAAGGUUUUAAAUAGAAAAAGUUAUUUAGGUCAAGCAGCCGACAAAAGCCUAUAAAUAGGAGGCUUCAAGACGAAAGAGAAGGUCAGAGAAAAAAAAACCUAACACUCAGAAGAAACAGAAAACUCUCUGCAUUCUUCACCCUACUUUGGAAGAGCCACCAAGCACAUCAAAUACGUGCCGGUUCCUUCACCAUAGAAAAAAUCCCAAACACCAAACAAGCUUCGUUCUACCCGUUUGAUCAAGAUCAAGUCUCUACGACCCUUGUAUCAAACACAAAUUUUCUUUAAACACUUUGGAGAUCGAAUCAGAGGAUUCAAUACAGAGAUUGUAACCCUAAAUUUCAUUAAUACAAAAUUAUUUUGUACACGUGUUCUUGUCUCAUUUGUCGCAGGAAAUUCGUGUUUACAAAUUUGGCACGCCCAGUGGGACUAUCUCUGCCUCUCAUCUCUUUCUCCAGUUCCAAAAUCAAUCAACACACCAAAAACGAUGGCUUCCAAGAAGAUUCAAUCCGUUCCCUCGACGAGAGGCAAAAGCAUGAGCGCCUCCUUCUCAAGCGGAGAUUCUGCUGGGGUCGUCACCCGGAGCAAGGCCAAGGCGAUACCCGCAACUCAACAUGUUACUUCCAUACCGACUCAAGCCAAGGCGAAAGAUGUUCACCGAAGGCGCGAACCGGUUAUCAAUUUGGCCUCAUUGGGGCAAAAGAAGAAUACCUCUCGGGCGGAUGAGAGAAACUCUCGGAGUGAAGGGAGGAGUUUUUCGAGUUCGAAGAAUUCGAGAGAACGCUCACUCUCACCUAUUUCAGACGCUGACUCGAGCACAUGCUCAUACCAUGGAUCCCCGCCUGACGAUCAACAGAAGAAGCUUACCUCGGUAUCCGUAGGUGAGUCUUAUUCUAUGGCUAUGCAGGUCAUGGUGACGGGAGCUAUGUCUAUUGAAGAACAGCUGGCCCAUAUGAGCGAAGCGGUCACCAAACUGACUAAGAUGGUCGAGGAGAAGGAUGCGCAGAUUGCUUCUCUCCUCAACAACAAGUGGGAAGUGCAUCAGGAUAAGGAGCCUGGUCAAGACGCACACAAGAAAGGACCACAUCAUGAGGCUGAAUCCAUCGAGAAAGGAUUGGGUCAUGAAACAGAGUCGGGUGAGAAGUCGCACGGAAAAGGUGACGCUGCCUCGGUAGGGUCUUUGUCGGUCCAACAACUUCAGGACAUGAUCGCAAACACCAUCAGGGUUCAAUACGGAGCACCUUCCCGAGACACGCUCAUGUAUUCUAAGCCAUACACCAGGAGGAUAGACAACUUGCGGAUGCCAACAGGAUAUCAACCUCCCAAAUUCCAACAGUUCGAUGGAAAUGGCAACCCAAAACAACAUGUUGCACAUUUCGUCGAAACAUGCAAUAAUGCCGGGACAGAGGGUGACCACCUGGUGAAACAAUUUGUUCGUUCCUUGAAAGAAAAUGCAUUUGAUUGGUAUAUAGACUUGGAGUCCGAUUCCCUUGAUAGUUGGGAUCAGAUGGAGCGAGAAUUCUUAAACAGAUUCUAUAGCACUCGUCGCACUGUGAGUAUGAUGGAACUCACAAAUACCAAGCAAUGGAAAGAUGAACUUGUCGUCGAUUACAUCAAUCGAUGGCGCUCGUUAAGCCUGGAUUGCAAAGAUAGGCUUUUGGAGUUAUCGGCGGUUGAGAUGUGCAUUCAAGGAAUGCAUUGGGGGUUACUUUACAUUCUACAAGGAAUUAAACCCCGCACGUUUGAGGAGCUAGCCACUCGUGCCCAUGAUAUGGAGUUGAGUAUAGCUAGUCACGGAGGAAAGCAUGAGCCAGUCAUGGAGCAAAGAAAGGAGAAAGUCUUUGGACAAAAGACAGAUAAGCCUGUCAAGAAGCCUACUAAGGAAGCAAUGACAAUAAACACCGUCCCCGUCAAAAUCUCCACCCGAGACAAAAAGAAAGAAGUCAAAAGGAUGGAGCCAUCUCGAGAAGUGGAUAGACGUCGACGUACUUUGAAGGAGUUAGAGGAAAAAACGUACCCUUUCCCUGACUCCGAUGUCGCAGGUAUGCUCGAGGACUUGCUUGAAAAGAAGGUGAUCGAAUUGCCGGAAUGUAAGCGGCCUGAAGAGAUGAAUCGAGUCAAUGACCCUAAGUUUUGCAAAUACCACCGAAUUGUCAGCCAUCCGGUAGAGAAGUGCUUCGUGUUGAAGGAGCUAAUUAUGAACUUGGCUAGGCAAGGAAGGAUUGAGUUGGACAUUGACGAAAUCGCAGAUGCGAACGUUGCCACAAUUGUGUUUGGAUCCUUCGAUCCAAUGCCACUGCCCGCAUUGUCGAAAAGAUUGGAAUUCCAAACAACAAGGGGCAUACGCCAGGUGACUGAUCCGUGUACCGAAGAAGUGGCGGGCAAACCGAACAAUCAAGGUGGUGAUGGCUUCGUUGGUGACUCAUCUUUCGAUGACAAUGAAGGAUGGACGCUCGUUACCCGGCGGAAACCUCGUACGAAGCGCAUUCCUCAACGACAAAAUACUCAAUCAAAGAGGGAGCGGCGAAAAAGGAGUUCGCACAAACGCUCUAAAACCAAAACCAGAAUAAUGGUGAAGAGAGAUUCUGGCCAAGAAAAUGGACCACUAAUCCAAGAACCACGAAUUCCAAUUACGCUAGAAGAAUACUUUCCCAAAAUGUUCUUCGUAAGAGGACCAACGGAGACUGUUCAUAUGACAACUUGCUAUCAAGUGGAUGACGAAGAUGUCUCGGAAGGAAGAUCUGAAACUCAUGAAGAGCAGAAGGUCCUAACACAGGUAGAAGAUUCACCAUCACACUUCAAUAUUGAGGAAGUGGUGGAACUUCCUGAAGCAAUACGCAUAGCAUUGGUAAAGACGUUGAUGGAUCUCAAUAUUCAUCCAAAUCAAAUAAGAGAGGCCAAAAAAUUAGAGCCUGAGUCUCAAGACCGUGCUAUCUGUUGUGCGACAUGUGCUUCCAUCACAUUCACCGAUGAAGAUCUUUUGUUAGGGUCUAAACCACACAACCGUCCGCUUUUCGUGUCCGGGUAUGUACGAGAACAGAAACUCAGCCGCAUGCUCGUGGAUGGAGGUUCAGCAGUAAACAUAAUGCCUAAAUCCACAAUGAUAAAGUUAGGCAUCACCGUGGACGAAUUGUCUCGAAGUCGUCUCAUGAUUCAAGGCUUUAAUUAAGGAGGGCAAAGAGCCAUGGGCAUGAUCAGAAUUGAGCUCGUGAUAGGCGACCUAAAGUCAAACACCCUAUUUCACGUAAUUGAUGCUAAGACUUCCUACAAUCUUCUCUUAGGAAGGCCGUGGGUACAUGAAAAUGGGAUAGUACCUUCAACUUUACAUCAAUGUUUCAAGUUUUACAGAGGUGGAGUGAAGAAAAUCCUAGGUGAUGUCAAGCCAUUCACUGAAGCUGAAUCCUAUUUCGCCGACGCCAAGUUCUACAUCGAUGAAGACAUGGCAUCUGAAGUUAUUCCCGUUGAGGUUCACUCAACUGGCCAGGCCAUACCAAGAAAAGAUGAGCAAUCAAAGUGCCUUUUCGCUUAAGAAAAUAGCUAUAACAAGCCAAAAAGCACUGCCUUUGGACAAAUGGGAUCACCACCGAUAGAUUCACGGAAGGUAUCUAUCCCUGUUCUUCGUUAUGUCUCAUCAUCCCGAAGGAAGGAAGGUCAAUCCCCAUUUGGAGAAGAAGUGAAACCAAGGAAGUUAGGGAAAAGUGACAUGAAGUUCUUGAAGGAGUCUACAACCAUGCCUUUACCCAAGUUGAGCAAUUCAGAUGUGUCGAAAUCUUCAGUACCAGGGUUCGUCAGACCAUUACAAGAUGCAACAAGACGUGAAUAUCUUCCGGUCAAAAGAACUAAAGAAGGUUUUGAUCCUAAUGCUUAUAAGCUCAUGUCAAAAGCAGGUUAUGACUUCGGCUUGUCUUCCUCGCUGGGAGAGCUUAAUCCAGAUGUCACAGGAGAAAGGACACAUGGCCUUAGCGAAACCCAAAAGAAGUUGAAGGAGCAGGGUUACACAAUCGACUCAGCUCGAACAGGCCUAGGUUUUACUCCUGUCGCACCUGUUAAGAUCUCUGCUAGAAGAAAAGAAAAGAAGGCAGAAGCUCAACACAUUAGUGUCGAAGUGGUUGAGGAGGAAGAAGAACCAAAGGCUAUUAAGAGAGCCUCAGUGUUCGACCGUUUAGCCAAGCCUACUCAGCGGACUUCAGUUUUUGACCGCAUCAAAAAAUCGACACCACGACCUUCUGUGUUCAAGAGGAUAUCUGGACAUAAGAAUCAAAGGGGAAUUCAAUCAGCUCCGUGCAGAUCAGCACUAGAAAGACUCGGAGUUCCAAGCCAACCGUCUGAAGAGAAAAGCCAGCGAGAGUUGGAAAGUGGAGUUGUUGUUGAUUCGACGAAAGAUAAUGAAAUCCGGAGCCUGAUCCCGUCACGUAUGAAACGUCUCUCAACACUAGAUGUAACUUCAGGUGACCAACUCAAAGUGAAACGACGAACAAUCAUACAAACUCGGAAAGCUUUGAGUCAACAAAAUGAAAGUGAUGAUGAAGUAGAGAUUCUAGCUGUUCAUCACGUUACGAUUAAAGAGCUCAAUGAAGAGGAACCUUUCGAGGAUGAGGCUCAUGACGCUCCUGCUGCAUUAGAAGAUGGGGGCCAAGCGACUGUUGAUGAAUUAAAAGAGCUCGACUUGGGCACAAAUGAAGACCCAAGACCUAUCUUCGUUAGUGCACUUUUGAAUCGUAGUGAAGAGGAAUCAUAUCAUCAGCUGUUGCUUGAGUAUAAAGAUGUCUUUGCUUGGACGUAUAAAGAGAUGCCAGGCCUCGAUCCGAAAGUUGCGGUUCACCACCUUGCAGUCAAACCUGGAGCGCGUCCAAUCAAACAAACUCAACGUCGCUUCCGUCCGGAGCUCUUAAGUCAAAUCGAAGCCGAAGUUGACAAGUUGAUCGCUGCCGGAUUUAUUAGGGAGGUGAAAUACCCGACGUGGAUAGCGAACAUUGUUCCGGUAAAGAAGAAAAUCACAGGGCAAAUUCGUAUUUGUGUUGACUUCCGAGACUUAAACGAGGCUUGCCCAAAGGAUGACUUUCCAUUGCCCAUAAUUGAGCUCAUGGUCGAUGCAACUACAGGUCAUGAAGCCUUAUCUUUCAUGGAUGGCUCAUCUGGAUACAAUCAAAUAAGAAUGUCGCCAGAGGACGAAGAACUCACGGCCUUCCGCACUCCAAAAGGAAUUUACUGUUACAAGGUGAUGCCAUUUGGCCUCAAAAAUGCAGGUGCGACCUAUCAACGUACAAUGCAAAAGAUCUUUGGUGACAUGCUUCACAAGAAUGUCGAGUGCUACGUUGAUGACUUGGUGAUCAAGUCAAAAAGAAGGGAAGAUCACUUGAAAGAUUUGAGAACAGUAUUUAACAGAUUGCGGAAGUACCAACUCAAGAUGAACCCUUUGAAGUGUGCUUUCGGCGUCACGUCAGGUAAAUUCCUUGGUUUCAUCGUUAAACAUCGAGGCAUCGAAGUAGAUCAGACUAAGAUUAAAGCCAUCCGAGAUAUGCCCGAGCCAAGAAAUUUACGUUAGUUGAAAAGUUUACAAGGACGCCUCGCGUUUAUUCGGCGAUUCAUCUCAAACUUAGCAGGGAGGUGUCAACCAUUCAGUCGCCUUAUGAAAAAGGAUGUUCCAUUUGUUUGGGAUGAAGCUUGUCACAAUGCCUUUGAAAGCAUAAAGAAGUACCUAUCGAGUUCACCACUAUUAGGAGCUCCUAUUCCAGGCAAACAACUCAAAUUGUACAUUGCGGCUCAAGAAAGGUCAAUUGGAGCCCUUUUAGCACAAGAGAAUGAGUCACACAAAGAGCAAGCACUCUACUAUCUAAGCCGAACGCUUACUGGUCCCGAACUAAACUACACGCCUAUAGAAAAGACGUGUCUUGCACUUGUUUUUGCUAUCCAAAAGUUAAGGCACUACAUGCAAGCAUUCACAGUCCAUCUAAUUGCACGAGCUGACCCGGUGAGGUACGUUAUGUCAAAACCAGUCUUGACGGGGUGUUUGGCCAAGUGGGCGUUACUUCUCAAUCAGUAUGAAAUCAUCUACACUCCAGCAAAGGCGAUUAAGGGGCAAGCUGUUGCAGACUUCCUAGCCGAUCAUCCAAUUCCAGCAGACUGGGAAAUUUCAGAUGACCUGCCCGACGAACAAGUCUUCUUCGCUGGCGUUUCUUCUGCUUGGAUGAUGUUCUUUGAUGGAUCGGCUCGUAAAGACGGGGCGGGGGCUGGCGUAGUCUUCGUAUCACCCGAGAAACACGUAUUGCCCUAUUCAUUCUCCUUAAGUGAACUUUGCUCGAACAACGUUGCAGAAUACCAAGCUUUGAUCAUGGGCUUACAAAUGGCUGUGGAGAUGAAGAUAUCAAGCUUAGAAGUAUAUGGUGACUCCAUGUUAGUGAUCAACCAACUACUAACUCACUAUGAAGUUAGAAAGGAUGAUUUAAUUCCAUACCACCAAUUAGCCACGCAAUUACUAGAAAGAUUUGACUUCGUGACGCUGGAGCAUGUGCCAAGAAAAGAUAACCAAAUGGCAGAUGCCUUAGCCAACCUUGCCGCUACAUUGGCAUUGACAAAAGAUGAAGCAAUAAAUCUUCCAGUUUGCCAACGUUGGAUCGUUCCAUUAACGCUUGGGACAUCGCAAGAAGGAGUCAACGUUAUCUCGGUACUAUCCAUUGACGUUGAUGACUGGAGACAACCUUUAAUUGAGUAUCUUGAGCAUGGGAAACUGCCAGAUGAUUCAAGACAUCGAUCAGAGGUACGACGUCGGGCACCUCGAUUCAUUUAUUACAAAGAAAUUCUCUACCGUCGUUCAUUUGAAGGCGUAUUUCUAAGAUGCUUGGACGAAGAAGAUGCAUUCAAAGCAAUGGAGGAGGCUCACUCAGGAAUUUGUGGAGCACAUCAAUCAGGGCCAAAGUUACAUUUCCAAAUAAAACAGAUGGGCUACUAUUGGCCGACUAUGGUCAAGGAUUGCAUGGAUUAUGUGAAGAAAUGCCAAGCAUGUCAAUUCCAUGCCAACUUUAUCCAUCAACCGCCGGAGCCGCUACAUCAUACAAUUACUUCAUGGCCAUUUGAUGCGUGGGGUCUUGAUGUGGUGGGACCAAUAGCACCUAAAUCUUCCGACGGUCAUUCUUACAUCCUUGCAGCCACAGACUACUUCUCAAAAUGGGCGGAAGCUGUGCCUCUAAAGGAAGUGAAGAAAGAAAAUGUAGUGAGCUUUAUCAAGGUAAACAUCAUUAAUCGGUAUGGUGUGCCACGCUACAUCAUCACAGAUAAUGGCAAGCCAUUCUCGAAUCGGUUGAUGGAUAAAUUGUGUGAAGACUUUGGUUUCAAACAACGCAACUCUUCAAUGUACAACGCACCAGCCAAUGGUCUUGCGGAAGCGUUCAACAAAACUCUUUGCAGCCUGUUGAAGAAAGUUGUUGGAAGAACCAAGAAAGAUUGGCAUGAAAGGAUAAAUGAAGCUUUAUGGGCUUAUAGGACGACAUACCGGACGCCUACUCAGGCUACACCGUACUCACUCGUGUAUGGCGUGGAAGCAGUUUUGCCUCUAGAAAGUCAACUUCCAUCAUUGAGGAUUGCCAUACAAGAGGGAUUGACUGAUGAAGAGAAUGCGAAGCUACGUCUCCAAGAGUUAGAAGCACUAGACGAAAAGCGACUUGAAGCGCAACAACGCUUAGAGUGUUAUCAAGCCCGGCUUUCAAAUGCUUUUAACAAGAAAGUACGCCCCAGAUCUUUUCAGGUGGGAGAUCUCGUCCUCGCAUUACGUAGACCUAUCAUCACAACACACAAAACCGGAAGCAAAUUUACUUCGAAAUGGGAUGGGCCCUACGUAGUACAAAAAGUAUACACAAGUGGCGCUUACAAGAUUAUAGCAGAGGAUGGUUUAAGAAUUGGCCCUAUCAACGGAAAAUUCUUGAAAUGAUACUAUGCAUGAAGUGACUACCAGCUCCUGGCCCGCAUGAGCCUAAACUGCGUACGGCACCCUGAAAAAAAAAAUAGCUCGUUGGAUUGAAAACCCGAAAAGGCGGUCUAAGCAAAAAAAAAUUAGAGCGCAAGAAAGUCCGUUGAACUGAAAACCCGAAAGGGCGGUUCAAGCAAAAGUUAGGGCACAAAAACAAAAACAAAAAUCCUUUGAACUACGUGAUGACUUGAUCCCUUUUCAUCGAGGGUACGUAGGCAGCUUGGACAAAUAAUUCCAAGUUUAGUCACAUCAAAAUAAAAACAAAGGGUUUUCCACGUCAACCCGAACCAUUAAAAAAAAUGAAAUGAGAAAAUGCUUUUAUUUCAUCAUGAAAGUUAUUUAGUAAACAUCAACACUUUGACAAGUUCAAAGAGAAAUAUAAUAAAGCAAAGAAAGUUUACAACAGCAGAAUUUGCUAUUCCCAAGACAAAUCCUUGAAGCCGUUACGCAGUCUCUCAAAAGAAACUCGUAAUGUAUCUAAAGUCUCGGCAUCUGCAGCUGAUAGUACAGGAGCUUCUUCAACCGUGGUCUUAUCCUCUCUCAAGCGGGUGACCUCACCAUGAUGAUAAGAAAGCUGUGCAUCAUUCUCUGAAAGUGAUCCGUUUAGUUGGCGCAAUCUUAACUCCAAUUGUUCUUGUUCCCUCUUCAACUCCUCCAUACGCAUAUUGGCAGAUUGAAUAGACUUAAGUAUAGAAGACUGAUGAACUUCUUCAGCUUGUUGCAGAGCCAAGGCAACAGAAAGUGAAGAGUCAACUGCGGCUAAACGAUCGCUUUAAGCCUCGAGAGAUAGCUUUUGGGAGUAAGUAGAGUGCGCAGAAUGAUAGUCAACUGCAGUCACCAUAAGCGCAUCGAUCAUAGCUCGUAAAGAUGAGACGUUCGCCCCUACAUUGUCAAGAGUAGUCAUCAACUUGCCAAGCUCAUCUUUGAAUGAGGGAAGCCUUUCCAAUGAAGCCUUCAAGAUUAUGCUUUUUACUUGGUUUCCUAGAACGGAGAUUACUUUGCGAAGGGUUUUGUCUGCAACACCUAAUUUGGGCUCCCCACAUGACAUUUCAGAAGUGGACGCGUAAUUAGCCGGCUUUAAUAAAUGUUGUUGUGCAAGUGAACCUACAUUGACCGACGGGUAAUGGUUAAGCAAAUAGAAUCAAAGAUUUCUAAAUACGGAGCGUGACAAAGAUUGGCAUUGUACCUUUUAGGCUAACACCUGAAGCACUUAUCGGGCGCAACGCAUCAUCUUCCUCUUCAAUAGGCAAAUGAUUAAAUGGCACAAGCUCAGACACAGUAGGGACAUGAUGCACUACUUCUCCCUAAUAUAUAUAUAUAUAUAAUUAAUAUAUGUAUGUAUAGAAAAGGGGAAGCUCAAGGCAAAAUAAAAUGCAUACCUCAUUCAUUAGAACCGGUUGUGAAACAGCGGGCACAUCACCAAAAAACCCAUCAUCAAGUGGGUAUGCCGCGUCCAAAUCACAAUAGAGAGGUCCGACACUUGUCUUCUUAUGCCUAAAGUUGACUUCACUGUCUUCAUUGCUACUUAUAUGCCCUCGCUUCAAAUUGCGGAUUCGUCGACUGAGUGGAAUGAAAUCUUCCUGAGAAUCUGCUACGCUUUCUGUUUCUCCUUUAUCAUUAGGGACUCGAGUUGGAGGAACAUCAACUGGAGGUGGGUGUUGAACUCGAGGUGCGGGAGUAGUAGAACUACCUUCAACUUCUGGAUGAACUCGAAGCGCUCUACCACGGGCGAGUUUAUCAUGAACUAAAACUUCAUUGCCAUGGGACUUAAGAGAUUUCGGCUGAGAAAGCGACGAUGAUUUGCCUGCAGUUGAGAUUGUCUUUGAUUUUGUCGAUUCAAAGCGAUGCACCUUCGACCACCAAAUAACAUAAUCGGAUGUAAUCUCAAACUCCCGAAUAUUGUCUUUAGUGGGUAGGGUUAUUGUAGAUGCACUGCCAAUUUUCAAACAUGAUUUCCAAUGUGAGUACACUGAUAGCACAGUCCCAUUCCGGACGUCAUCUUUAAGUUCUCCUGGCACAUGUUGUACAUAACAAAAUUGUCUACUGAACCUGUGCGGGCUAUAAGGUUGAAUGACUCGGUAGUUUUCCUGUCGUAGAGAAACGAAUCCCGAACGAAGACAUAUCAAAUACUCAAAGUCUUCUUUAGAAAUAUGAUCUUCAUCAGUCAGUUGUUUGCAUUCUGAGAACACUUUUGCUAGACGAUUCAUUUUCACUUUACCACAAGUCCGGAACAAAGCUCGAGCUGUCGAAUCUUCAAAAAAUUUUGCAGAAAGUCUCCCUGAGAACCUUGCCAUGAUGGGAAUGGACCUCUCGGAAGAUGAUGUAAAAUGUGUGUCGAAAUAUUCACCCAACCACCCAUACACAUAAUGGAAAGGUAGAACAGUUGUGCAAUUUCCUGGAUCAUCUGCACUAGAAAUAUCAUUCAACCCCUUGUAAAUACUGGCCAAUACUGGAACUGCUAAGCUAAAUGAUACACCGUGCGCCAUCCGACUGGCAACUUUGAAAACCCCUGGUCUAGUCAAAGUUAUGUCAUCUUUGGGAAAUACAAAUUUGCACAACCAGAAAGCAAGGAAUGCAGCCAAGUAGGAUCUAUCCAUGUCUUCAUCAGCUAUACCCAAAUCUUCAAAAACCCCUUCCUCUUCCUCAGUACGUUUCAAUGCCGCUGCAAUGAUACCAGACGGAUCCGAGUCUUCCUUUGGCUUUUGUGACUUGUUCCGUACAGUUUUCCUUGAAGAUUUUUUAUACCUGAAUGGCCCUCGAUACCAGUACUUUAUCCAAGCAGUCAUUCUCACUCCAGAUUUUCCUUUGGAGUCCUGUAAAAUUUUGUGGUACGCUAAGAACAAGUAACGACAAAUAUGUGGGAUAUAAGGCACGCCUUUAUGGUCCUUCCUGUUGAGACUUUCAGUGUUUGGAAUAACUUCAUCAUAAAAUCGACCUGUAAUAGGGAGACCGCCGAUUUCAUGAAGAUCCCAAAGGGAAAUAGACAUUUCUCCUUGCGAUGUAUGAAGAGUAUUUGUCGCAGGGCACCAAUACUCGCAGAAGGCUCGAAUGACUGGAGCGUGUCGAUCAUAGCUAAAUAAUGAGGCAAACACUGCAUUAUAUAGACCGACGCUCUUAAGAACCUGGGUAUUUCUACUUAGCACAUCUUCAAGCCAUUCCCAGUAAUACUCGGUAAAUGUAGAUUCACCAGCUGUCGGAAGAACAGAACCCCAAUUCACUGCCCCAUUAUGGAUUCGAUCGCUAAGGAGUUCGAACGCCCCUAAUGAAUCAGUCUCUGUAUGAUGCGAGGACUUUAACUGUAAAACAGUGGAGUGAAGAUCCCUAUCUGUAGAUUUGGAUUUUUUGAAGCUGCUAAGUUGACAAAACACCUCUUGGGACCAAGACGGAAUAUGAAGAUAAUUGUCCACCUCAGAUAUCUCCGAAGCUAGGAGAGGCGUACCUACAAGCAAUGUGGUACCUUCGUCCCGGCUAUCACUUUCAUCCUCAAGAAUAGUAAUGGUGCCUUUCUUAAAACACUUGAAGAAGGCCAUCUAUAUAAGGUAAGAGACAUGAAGCAAUAUUCAGUAUCAGGCUGGUGACUUCAUACCCAAACAAAAACAAAAACAAAAACAAAAAACAAAAAACAAAAAAAAAAAAGAUGGGCUGCGAAAAAAAAAAAUACAAAAAAAAAAAAAAAAAAAAAAAGAGCUUACUUAUACAAGUUUGAAGAGCCGAGCAAAGGUGGAAUGUCUCGAGAGACAAUCUUCACUUGUCUUCCUCUACGUAAAGCCUAAGUGCUUGAGCGGGUUAUCACCAAGUCGGAGAGAUGGAUCAAACCCAAGCGCUAUAGGACGUCUACGUUCUUCACUUGUCCUCCACUUACGUAAAGCCUAAGCGCUUGAGCGGGUUAUCACCAAGUCGGAGAGAUGGAUCAAACCCAAGCGGUAUAGGACGUCUACGUUCUUCACUCGUCCUUCACUUACGUAAAGCCUAAGCGCUUGAGCGGGUUAUCACCAAGUCGGAGAGAUGGAUCAAACCCAAGCGGUAUAGGACGUCUACGUUCUUCACUCGUCCUCCACUUACGUAAAGCCUAAGCGCUUGAGCGGGUUAUCACCAAGUCGGAGAGAUAGAUCAAACCCAAGCGGUAUAGGACGUCCACGUUCUUCACUUUCUUUCAAAGCACCUAUUAUAAAAAAACAUACACAUAUAUAAAUAUCAUCAUUAAAAAAAAAGUGAUAGAUAUGCUGCGGAAAAAAAAAAAAAAAAAAAAAGGGUUUUAUUUCAGGCUGUUCGGACCAGCCCAAGCUACAGCCCAGUCCGCACAGCACCCCAGCUCGCAGCCCAUGUCGCUCCAGGUCCAACUCGCAGCCCAACCAGAGCUCGUGGCCCGCAUCUCCUCCUGGCCCGUUCACUCUAGCUCCAGCAGGAGGCCCAGCAUCUUCUUCUCCUAGCUCGAGCCCACUUCGCACAACAAGGCCAGCGCCUCCCUUCGAGCCCGCCUUGCGCGCCAGGCCUGGGGCCUCCUUUCCAGCCCAUAUCGCACCUGCCUCCCUUCGAGCCCAUAUCUCGCCUGCCUCCAGCCAUACUGACCAGGCCCUAAUGCACACCUCCAGGCAUGUUCCAACCCUCUUACCCAUCUUGCUUCCACUCAAAAAAAAAAAAAAAAAAAGAGCUGAUACAAAAACAUGAUGAAACAAAGAAUGGGUUCAAGCCUACCAACAAGUUUCUUGAUAAGCCAACAGAUGAGUUCUUGUGACUGUAAAAAAAUAAAAAUAAAAAAAAUAAUAGCAACUUCAGUUUUUCAAAUGGCGGCUGUAGGUAUAUAUAUAUGAGAGAAUCAGACAACGAGGGAAAAGAAGCAACUCUCACCACUUUGUUUGCUAAGAAUUCGGAUGAUGCAAACUUCAAAAUCGUAGACCUUCUCGCCAACAAGAGGAGUUUUUCUGCUGUUCUAUUUGGUUGAUCUCAAUAUUCAUGAACAUAGUGCAAUUUAAAGAAACCAAAGACCAUCAAAGCUCCUAGUGAUGCUAGGGUUUCUCAUUCCUAGUUUAGGAAAGUAUGGGAUUUUGUAUCUUGCUUCCCAAGAUCUUACCAAUAUUGGAUAUUAUUAAGCUUAAUAAUAUCAAAAAAAAAAAAAAAAAAAACCUGGAAACCAACGUUGGAAAUAGGUUAGAUAUUCUCAAUAAUAUCUACCACAAAAAAAAAAAAAAAAAAAAAAGGAGGAACACUUCAAGCUGCACCUCCUACAUGUGAAAAGGCACAUGUCUACAAUGCAUCAUGAAGUGGGGGCAAUUUGUAGACAAAGAAAUUUUGGUGCAAUAAAUUUCAUUGACAAGAAAAUAAUUAGGGUUCGGUAGAUUAAAUCGUGGGCCCCGUAAUUCGCCCACGUGGCGUGUGACUCAUCAAGAUCGAAUUAGUUGUCAAAAAUGACAAAUGGCGACAUCCGACGGAGUGCAUCAAACGGUUCAAGAUGAAGACAAAAUUAAAGGAAAGAAUCUUCUGUGAUUGACUUUGAUUUAAAUCAAAUAUUAAUCAGGUUAAUCAAUUAAAGAUAAUCUGGUUAAAUUGCCAGAUUAUGGGAAUUGAUUUAAAUCAAAUCAGAAUCCCACAAAUCAAGGUUUUAAAUAGGAAAAGUUAUUUAGGUCAAGCAGCCGACAAAAGCCUAUAAAUAGGAGGCUUCAAGACGAAAGAGGAGGUCAGAGAAAAAAAAACCUAGCACUCAGAAGAAACAGAAAACUCUCUGCAUUCUUCACCCUACUUUGGAAGAGCCACCAAGCACAUCAAAUACGUGCCGGUUCCUUCACCAUAGAAAAAAUCCCAAACACCAAACAAGCUUCGUGCUACCCGUUUGAUCAAGAUCAAGUCUCUACGACCCUUGUAUCAAACACAAAUUUUCUUUAAACACUUUGGAGAUCGAAUCAGAGGAUUCAAUACAGAGAUUGUAACCCUAAAUUUCAUUAAUACAAAAUUAUUUUGUACACGUGUUCUUGUCUCAUUUGUCGCAGGAAAUUCGUGUUUACAAUCACAUUAUUAAAUUUAUUUCUUUAAAGCGAGUUAAUUAAUUGUGACAGCUUUGAGCUGACGAUGACUUCCAAAAUAUUGUAUGUGCGCAUGAGGAUCUUAAUUUUAUUUAUGUUUCUUAUUCUCCAAAAUCCUUGUAAGUUAGACAAACAAAAAUUGGAUAAAAUAAAUGUUUAAUUUGAUGCCGUUUAGGGUUUAGGGUUAGAAUAUGUGUUACAUGACUUAUGAUAUAUAAGUGUUACAUGCCACAUUAAAAAUUCGAAGCUUCCAAAAUAUUUUUUUGUAUCACUCCAUCCCCAACAUGAUUCUAUUUCUAUUUUUUUUUUUAAUCUCUUUACAAAUGAAAAUUUGAAGUGAUGGAGUAUAUAUAUAGAAAUGAAUAAAUAAGGAGUGCUGCUAUUUCCACCCACCUGUCCUAUUUUCCCACCCACCUUAUCUUCCCACUCACCAUAUAAAUUUGAAAAAACACAAUCCUAUCUUUCCACUCACAAUUAUUCUUAAAAUACCGUUUAUUAUUAAUUCAAGCAAAUUCUCUUUUCUGUUAACUUGUGAGUCAUUUAAAUUUAAUCUAAUGAUUGAAAAGAGCAAUUGUUUGCUCUAAUUAGAGAGAUUUGACAACCAAAAUUAAACUAAUAGAACAUAUUUUCAACAUGAGCAUCUGAUUACAUUGGAAUUUGUUCCGUGGGAUGAGAAGACUUUUGCCAUGUCGAUCAUUGGGAUUUGCUGGCCUCCUCCUACAAAUGGGAAGAGUACAUGACGACUGGAGUUUCUAAUGAAGAAUCCAUCGUUUUGGCUCAAAAAAUUUUGGGGUUGGGGUUUUAGGAUGGAGAUAAAAUAGGAGGGAGAGGUUGAGGGUGCUUUGGAUUUGACGUUUGAUCUUUGUGCUUUGGAUUUUUUUUAACUUUUUUUAAUUUUAAGUUUGAGGCAAUUGUUUUGUUUUUUAAUCAUUUUCCACAAGUCCUUAAAAGUCAUUUUAUGAAGGAGUAAAUUUAUCUUUAAAUUUUUGAAGAUAAGGUGGAUGAAAAAAUAGGACAGGUGGGUGGAAAUAACAGCACUUUAAAAUAAGAGGUGAAGUAGAGGCCCUUACCUUGAAAAGGAAGCUGGCCAUCCUCAAUGAGCUUGGGGAGACAAAAACAAGUCCACAUGUAACGAGGUCAAGGAACGUUAUAACAUAGAAUUGGAAGCUCCAGCUCCUCCGCCACGUCAAACGCAAAAUUCACUAGCCCAUCUGUUAUGAUACAGCUCGGAGGCGGCACCAGAACAUCAUUCGAUUUUGCCUUAAGCGAAAUGGUUUUGAGGAGCUCUCGGAAAUGAGGCCUAAUGGACGUCUUAAAUGCCAUGAAAAACUCAAUGUCCAGGGCACGAGGGUGGCCCUCGGGGAAGCCAUCGGAGAUGUACUCAAAAUGAAGGGUGGGGAAAUGAGUCGAGAGCGCUUGGAGGUUGGCCAAGCGCUCAUGGGUUUGGUGAGUGUUGACAUAGGUGACAUGAAGGCCUGCAUGGCAGAGAAGCUCGGCUAAGCAUAGCAAGGGCUUCAUGUGACCUUGGAGUGGGAAGGGAAAGAUGACUACGUGAGGUUGCUUCAUUGCCAUUGGGUUAAUAUUUUAGCUAGGUUUUCUUGCUCUUAGGGCUUUCUUAAUUGUAAGUUAUAUCAACCUAUUACAGAAGGGGUGGUAUAUAUAGAAUCUGGAGAUGGCAUACAAAAUUGCACGGCGUGGAAAAUGUCAACAUAAACUUAGAUGCCAAUAUAAGUAGUGCAUACGCAGGGGUGGUCCUACCCUAAGGGUAGGGUAAGUAGCCGCCUACUCUAUUUUUUGCCAAAUCAAAAAUUAUCUAGUAUUCAAUACAAUCAAAUUUCUUUUGCCUACUCAAACCCAACCCAUCAGGGGCGAUCCCACCUUAAGAGCAGGCCUACUCCAUUUUUUGCCAAACCAAAACUUACCCAAUACCCAAUACAAUCAAAUUUCUUCUGCCUACUCAAACCCAACAUACUCAAAAUUUUCCCUUUAACAAAAACAAUAGCCCAGCACACUCAACUUUCUCCUUUAACAAAAACAAUAAAAAGCAAUAUAAGCAUGUGAAAGAUGUGAAAGUUGUAUGGAGAUUUUUUUCAACGUUGACUAACAUUGUGAAUUCUGUUAGUGCUUCUGUUAAACGCCGUAAUGAGUUAAAUUUAAUUCGAAAAGCUGAACUCAAAGAGCUUUUAUAGUUUAUAUUAAUUUCUUAUUUAUAUUCUAUUUUGAGUAUUUGUUAUUGUUCUUAAUGCAUUGAAUAUAUGGCUAAUAUUUAAUUGAUUUGAUGAUCCGAAAGGAGACCAAGAGAAGAUGUUUGGUUAUUGCUUCUUAUAACAAAUACCAUGUCUUGAAUGAGUGCCUAAGAGGGACUAACAUGACUCAUGCAGUUUUCUUAUAGGUUAUUAUAGAACUUAAUGGGUUUUUGAUUUUCUAAAUCCAUUCAUCGAGAGAGAAUGAGUUGUUAAUUGAGAAUACUUUUGGUUGAGCCUGAGAGGGGAUAUCGAAUGAAUUAGGAAAAGCCAACUGUCAACAUGGGUAGUAAUUAGGGUUAAUUGGCUAUAAGAAUUAAGUGGAAUUGGUUAUGGUGAAAUCGGAUGCUCUAGUGUCUCAUCAACUUGAUUCUAAACCGUUAUUUAAAUUGUUAUUUUUCAUAAUUGCUUUAAUUUAAUUGAUAAAUAUUAUUAAUCAACUGUUUAAAUACAGUUUUGAAUUAAUCAAAAUUGGUAAUUAAUAGGAUAUUAUAGUCUUCAUGGGAACGACACUCUAUUUAUUUAUUUUAUUAUUUGUGUGGAUUGUGCACUUACAAUAAUUUCACAACACUAAUCAAGCUUAAGAUCUAAUUAACUAAACUUUAUUACUCGGCUAUUUUAUCACAAAGUAAUUUCAAGCAUAUAUAAAUUGCAUAGUGUACAAAACAAAAAACUCAAGAUACAAUUCUUGACAUCUAUUUAUUUUUAUUGGAAAUAAUAGUCAAUAUGAAGAAAUGACACAAAUUUGAGUUUCACAUGAUUUCGAAGUCAACCAAUAUAUAGGCCAGUUCCAGCCACUCUCAAUCGGCAUAAUAUUUUUUGUACACAAAGAAAAUUCUCUUAGAGCAUUUCCACCAGUUAGCCCCUUGCCAAGGCAAGGGGAGCCCUAGGGCAGCUACUAUUCACGUGAAUAGUGGCUGCCCUAGCCCCCCUCAGCAAAGUGUGUUUCCAGCAGUUUAAGCUUGCCAUGGCAAAUACUAUUCAUUUUUUUAUUUUUUUCACAACUUUUUUUACUUAAACAAUUAAUUUGGAUAAUAUUUUUGGAUAAGAUUUUUGGGUUUCUAUGUGUCAAUACUAUUCAUAUUGGAUAAUAUUUUUGGAUAAGAUUUUAUUUUAUUAGUUGUAUUGGUUGGUAUUUAUAGGAAAAAAAAAAAGUAUGAGGAAUGGGUUAAUAGUGAAGAGUAUUGGUUGGUAUUUAUAAACACUGGCGAACUCAUAAUUUUUGUAGCAGAGGUGCAAUAUUGACUAAGUAUGAAAAAUAAUUUUUCGGAAUAAUCAUUUUCUCAAGAUAAUUUUUGGCGGCUUUUAUUCCUUACACAUCAAAUAAGAAAACUUGAUUUUAUGAAAUUUUAAUAUGAAGUAUAUAUUGACUUAAUGAGCCAUCAUUUUUAGCCUAAAUCGUAUUUUGCACUAAAACCGAUUUUUCAUAUUUUGAUUUGAUGGGAAUUUGAUUUUCUAGUAUUUUUAUUUGAAUCCAAAUAGGGUGUACUUCUUUAUUUACAUUGUAAACUUAAGUAAAUGGAGUAAUAUAAAAAUAAAUGAAAGUAAAAGGACAAAGACAUUUACUUAAAUGUUGAAAAUGGAAAUAAGGUAUAGAGAAAAAAAAAUCAGUAAUUUUUUGGGUAUUUUUUUAAAUUUUUAUCCAUUUUUUUUUUCAUUUUUUUAUUGCACAAACAUUGGCUCCGUUGGAUUGCUGGAAAAAAUAUGAUCGGAGAGCCUAGCGCUCGCCACAUGGACGAUUUAAAAAAAUUUGGACGCAGGGCUGACGUCGACGUGACGUCAGCACACUGACAUCAGCCUUGCCCUCGGGCCAGCCCAGUCUGUUGGGUCCCACCAUUUGCCCGAGCUUGCUUUUGCUGCUGGAAACCACUUUUUUGACUAAACCCCCCCCCCCCCCUAGCCCGAGCCCAGUCUUAGCUGCUGAAAAUGCUCUUAGAAUAUACAAGUUCGUGUGGAAAUCGUCCACACAUUAUUGUUGAAGCCAAGCCAUAGCAACAAUGAUAGAUUUGCAAGCAGAUAAUUCUCAUUAAUCACCUUCAUCUAGCCAACCAUCGAAGCCCAUUUUUUCUUUAUGUUAUUCACACAUUAAGAUCAAUUACAUAAGUCAUGAAGGAAAAUUCGAAACUAAACAUUCAUUUGCUGAAAACGGAUAUUCAAUCUAGCAAGUUAUUCAAUUCAAUUCAAUAAAAUUUUAGACACCAAAUAUGAACUUUAUAGAAUAUACUCUUAUAUAUACGUUACAAGCUUAUUGAUUGUAAGGCUGGAAAUGUGAAGAGAAUCUUUUAAUUCCUCCACAAGAUAAGGAAACAUGGAAUAAAAAAACUCUAAUUGCAAUGACUUUUGGUAUAUAUGCUUGACAAUUGACAUAAAAAAAUAAAAUAAAAAAUCCAACACUUGGAGAUGUGUUUACAUGCGACUUUUGCUAUCGUGGUUACAAAACAAAUAAUCCUUUUUUUUUACCUACCAUUACUUUGCAUACCUUUUUAUUUUUGUGGUCAAAUUUCUCCGCUUACUAUUAGGUCAUGCAUGUAUGCAUGAGGCAUUUAAUAUCUGCAUGAUAAAUUGUGUUUACAUGUCUCCAAAUUUUGUCAAACAAAACAAUUUGUGGGAAGUUAAAAGACAGAUUAGUCGUGGUGGAAUUUAUUUUAAUCCCACAAAACAAUAAAACACCAACACCUACAAUUGAAGUUACAGACAGCAAUUUGUGGGAAAGAGCUCGAUUGACCCCUUGCAUGCAUGUAUCACUUCACUUGUGGAUGAAAAUUUUGAAUUUUGGAUUGUUUAUUCAAGAAGCAAUGAUACAUAUAUACUAGCCCACACGAACAAGACAUAUAAACUUAAGCAAUCUACUUGAUACACAAAUUCUUUUAUUAGGUCUUCAAUAAGUUUCUCCACGUUGUUGUACGAUGUACCAGCCAGCUUCACAAAUAGCAUUCUGAGCCAAUUUUGCGAACCUCUCCACAGACUUGCAUGAUCUUCCCUCAAAUCCCUUUACAUCAGACUUAUCCUUCAUAUCAAACCCAAUCUUCCAAACCUCAUCACCAAAUAUCACAACAAAUUAUUCCAAUGAAAAGUGAAAUAUAAUAUCACCGGCUAGCUAGCUAGCUAGUUCUGGUGUUGCAAAUUUCGAAUGUAUUCGAUCAGCUGCUCCAAGUUGUUGUGAGAAGAUCCACCUUCGGCAACACUGUCACGAGACAAUUUCGAAAUGGCAUCCAUGGAGCUCUGGAUCUCCUCCCUUUUGGAUCCCAUCAAAGUUUGAACCAUGCUCUCAAUGUUGGACCGGUCACAAUUUUCGUUCAAUUGGAGACCAAUCUUCCACUGCCGGCAAACAGUGCUGCUAAUAAUAUAAUGGUCCCCCAACUUCGGCCAACAGAUCAUGGGCAGCCCGGCCACAAUGCUUUCAAGCGUCGAGUUCCACCCACUGUGGGUCAAAAACCCACCUACCGAUUUGUGGGCUAGCACCUCCUCCUGCGAAACCCAAUCCACUAUGCACCCUCUUUCUUUCGUACCAUUUUCCAGCUCUGCGGGAAUUUGGUGGUCCCCAGAUGUGAUGUCAGACCUCAUGACCCACAAAAACGGGUGUCCACUGUUGACCAGACCGUACCAAAACUCUAUCACUUGGGCACGUGUCAAGUGAACCAAAGUCCCGAAGCUAACGUAGAUAAUCGAUUUGGACGGCUGGGAGUCGAGCCACGUCAUGCAGUUUAGGUCGCUUUUCCAAAGAGAGCCGUGGGAUGCUAGACCUCGAGACAUGUCACCUAUUUGGGAGUUGAGGAGAGCAUGGAGUGGUCCGAGGGUGUAAAUCUUGGGAAACAUGAGGGCCAUGUGGGAAAUGCAAGGGGCAUCGAGCUCAUAAACUGUGUCGAGAAUGAGAGCCGAUGCUCGUUUUAGGGUUUGGGUCUCGUUGAUAGCAAAUUGAAGAGAUGGGUGGUCAGCUUGUUUGACUCGGCAAAAACCUGGCAAGUCUUGGCGAUGCAAAAGGCCUUCCAUUCCGGGCACUCCCGUAAUUUCCACAUUCAUGUCAUCAUCUAUUUAGAACUCACAAAUCACAUAAUUUUUUUUUAUUUUUUUAAAGCAAGUUAAUUAAUUAUGACAGCUUUGUGGUGACGACUUCCAAAAUAUUGUAUUACAUGCGCGGGAGGAUCUUGUUAUAGAAGUUUCAAAAAUAUUACAUGUAUCAUUCCACCCCAACGUGUUACGUGUCAAUUUAUUAGUGUUUAUAUUUCAAGUUUUAUUUAAGUUUUCUAUUAUCCAAAAUCCAUGUAAAUAAGUUUCAUAAGACAAAUAAUUGAAGUGAUAUGGAGGUCGUUCAUAUAUAUGGAGAUGAAUAAAAUAAGAGGUGAAGUAGAGACUCUUACCUUGAAAAGGAAGCUGGCCAUUCUCAAUGAGCUUGGGGAGACAAAGACAAGUCCACAGGUAACGAGGACAAGGAACGUUAAAACUUAGAAUGGGCAGCCCCAGCUCCUCCGCCACAUCAAACGCAAAAGUCACGAGCCCAUCUGUCAUGAUACAGCUCGGAGGCGGCACCAGAGUAUCAUUCGAUUCGGCCUUAAGCGAAAUGGUUUUGAGCAGCUCCCGGAAAUGAGGCCUAAUGGACGUCUUCAACGCAAUCAACAACUGGCUAUUCAGGGUACGGGGGUCAUCCUCGGGGAGGCCAUCGGAGAUGGACUCGAAAUGGAGGGUGGGGAAAUGAGUCGAGAGGGCUUGGCGGUUGGCCAAGCGCUGGUGGUUGUGGUGAGUGUUGACAUAGGUGACAUGAAGGCCUGCAUGGCAGAGAAGCUCGGCUAAGCAUAGCAAGGGCUUCAUGUGACCUUGGAGUGGGAAGGGAAAGAUGAUUACGUGAGGUUGCUUCAUUGCCAUUGAGUUAAUAUUUUAGCUAGGUUUUCUUGCUCUUAGGGCUUUCUUAAUUGUAAGUUAUAUCAACCUAUUAGAGAAGGGUUGGUAUAUAUAGAAUCUGGAAAUGGCAUAUAAAAUUGCAAGGCGUUGAAAAUGUAAACAUAAACUAAGGCCAUCUCCAGUCAUAUGGCUAAAUGUAGUUCAGGAUUAAAAAUUUAGCCUCCAAAAUAUUAAUUUUUUAAAGAAUAGUGCAUGGUUAAAUUUUUCCAUCUCCAGCCAUGCAGGGGUAUAUUUUAGGGUCCUUCAUAUUUUAUUAUUGUGAGAAAAACUAUAGUAUAACACUCAUACAUUCAACAACUAUAUAUUGUUUAAUUUAAUUAAACUACAAUUUAGAGACAAUAUUUCAUAUUUAAUUAAACUACUAUUUAGAGAUAAUUUUUUAUAAUUUUUUUUAAACAACACUUGAAAACAUUUAAAAAGGUGACCAUAUUUAUUUUUAUUUUUUAAAGAAAAAAAAAGAAUGGGUUUCAAUGGUCUGACCAUAACGGUCAUGACCAAUAAUAUUUUAUACUUUUGUCUUCAACAAUAUGAAUUGAAACAUUUAAAAAGGCUGUUAAAAAAUAUAUAUAUCCAACUAUGCAUUAACGUGUUUUACUGUUGGCCGUUGAAAAGCAAAUGCAUGGGGCCCACUAAAAUUUGGUCUAGGCCAAAGCUGAGCUAUAUGUGGCCCAGUUGGAGGGCUAAGGAGCCAAAUGUGGCCCUCUAAAUUUGGCCGAAAUUUUGUUUAGCUCAUGACUAGAGAUGGAUUUUACAUUAUUUUAAGGCUAUAUUUAGGAUAUAGCCCAAAGCUAGAGAUGGCCUAAGAUGCCAAUAUAAGUCAUGCAUACGAACACAUAAUAUUAUACCUUGAAAUAAAAAUAAAAAUAGGUUCACGGAUGGCGGCCACCUUACAUGAUAUAUAUGGCAAUUCACGUGUACCCAAAAACAAAACAAGAAAAAAGAUACCGUGUCUCAGCUAUUUUUCUCAUCCAAUGAAAUUCAAGUUGAACCCUCCACCAAAAAAAAAAAAAGGAAAGAAAACUAAGAACAGAGGAUUAGCUUAUACAAUGAUGAAUUGGAAGUAAUAGUAAAUAUGAAGAUAUGAGACAAAAUUGAAUUUCACGUUGUUUCAAAGUCAACCGAUAUGGAGGCAAGAUCUAGUCCCUCUCAAUCAACAUAAUAUUCUUCUAAACGGAAAAAAUUCUUUCAGAAUAUAUCGUAUCGAAAACGUUGAAAAUAUAAAAUACACUAGUAUAAACACGUGAACAUAUAUAAUGAGUAAAAUAACAAAGGAAUUAAGAUAUUCUUCCUUUAAGUCUCAAUAAUGUAAUUGUUUUUGUCGUUUGCCAAAGGUCUCAAUGCAACACAUACAAGUUGGUGUGGAACUCUUCCACGCAUUCAUCUCCAUCUACCGAACUAUGGAACUAUCGAAACUGAUUCUUUCUAUACAUUAUUCAUACAAUUAAGAUCAAUUUGAAAGUAGCAUUCAUUUCUUAUUUGAACAAAUAUUCGAAUCUAAUGAGUUAUUCAAUUUAAUUUAAUCUUCGAUAUCAAACAUGAAUUAUGGAAUUUAUGUCGGUUACAAGCUUAUUAAUUGUGAGGUUGGAAAUCCAAACCAAUUAUUUGAUCCCAGACUCUGGGCAAUAUUGUUGUUGUUUCGAUCAAUAUACAAGGUUGGCUAUCAAAUAAGCUGGUAUUCUCAAACAAAAUGACUAAUAUACCAUGCAAUCAACCUAUUCCAAAGAAAUGACUAAUAUGUGCAGCAUUAAUUUUCCAUAGAGAUCCAGCUAUGUUUGGCAACUGGGAAUUUGAAGAGAAUCUUCUAAAUUCUUUUUCUUUUUUCUUUUUUUAUGAACUUCUUUUUUUUUAUUCCUCCACAAGAUGAGGAAACAUGGAAUAAAAUAGACCCCAAUUGCAAGUGGCAAUUACUUUUGGUUUUGGUACCAUAUAUAUAUAUAUAUAUAUAUAUAUAUAUAUAUAUAUAUAUGCUUGGCAAUUGACAUCAACAUCCAACGCUUGGGGAUCAUGCUGUGUAGUGUUUUUGCAUGCUACUUUUGGUAUGGUGGCUAUUUGACCCUCAAGUUCAAUCGCAUUGCUCGAAGCGAUAAUUUUUUUAUUUAUAAGAGAGAGAAGAGGGAUGUAUCACGGAGGAUUGUCGGAAUUUUUAUAAAUUUUUUUAUGACCAACUCAAAUAUUGUCAUGGUUACAAAACAAAAUAAUCGUUUUAUUUUUUAUUUUUUAAAACCUACCAUUACUUUGCAUACCCUUUUUUUUUUUUUUCGUUGCUCAAAUUUCUCUGCCUAUCAUUACUUUGGUACAGACACUUAUUAGGGCUGAUUAUAUAUGCAUGAUAAAUUAAGGAUGUUGUUAAACGAAUUUUAAAAUUAAUUGAAUACAUCUUAUGAUCUAAGUACACUCUAAUAUUUAAAUUAAAAUAUAAAAUUAACUAAGUAUACCCAAUUUAACUACUAAAAAUACUCCUGGUUCACCAUAAUAUACUCUAUCACACAACACCAAAUCCAUUUAAGAGCUGACUGCUGAACACUAUCAAACCACCAAACUCAUUUAAGAGUUGGCUACCGAAUACAAUAAUAAUACAGUAAAUAAAUAGAAUCAAGAAAGACAAAGAACAUCAACAGAGCUUCUAAACCGUUAUGGUGAAAUCAGAUGCUCUAGUGUCUCAUUAACUUGAUUCUAAACCGUUAUUUAAAUUGUUAUUACAGUCUUCAUGGAAACGGCACUUUAUUUAUUUUCAUAUUACUUAUGUGGAUUGUGCGCUUCCAAUAAUUUCCCAACACUAAUCAAGCUUAAGAUCUAAUUAACUAAAGUUUACUCGGCUAUUUUGUCACAAAGUAAUGAGAAGCAUAUAUAAAUUGCAUAGUGUACAAAACAAAAAAACUCAAGACACAAUUCUUGACAUCUAUUUAUUUUUAUUGGAAAUAAUAGUCAAUAGGAAGAAAUGACACAAAUUUGAGUUUCACAUGAUUUUGAAGUCAAUCAAUAUAUAAGCCAAUUCCAACUUCCAGCCACUCUCAAUCGACAUAAUAUGUUUUGUGCAUGAAGAAAAUUCUCUCAGAAUAUAUCGUUUGGAAAACCCUUAACCAGCAUUACCUAUAAAUAUUGUGGAAAAUAUUAUAGCCUUGCUAUAAUAAACAAGUCUCAAAGUAAUUUAUUUUGUCGUUUUCCAAGUCUCAAUGUAAUUAUUUUUGUCGUUUGCCAAAAGUGUAAAUGUGUAAGACAUACAAGUUUGUGUGGAAAUCGUCCACGCAUUAUUGCGGAAGCGAAGCCAUAGGGUGUAAAUUGACAGUUAAUCUUUCUUAUUAAUCUAGUCAAUUAUCAAAGCUCAUUUUUUGUUUAUGUUAUUCACACAUUAAGAUCAAUUACAUAAGUCAUGAAGGAAAAUUUGAAACUAAACAUUCAUUUGGUUGAAAACGAAUAUUAUUUCAAUCUAACGAGUUAUUCAAUUCAAUUUUAGACAGCAAAUAUGAACUUUGUAGAAUAUACUCUUUUAUAUAUUACGUUACAAGGUUAUUGAUUGUGAGGCUGGAAAUGUGAAGAGAAUCUUUUAAUUCCUCCACAAGAUAAGGAAACAUGGAAUAAAAAAAAAUCUAAUUGCAAUGAAUUUUGGUAUAUAUAUGCUUGACAAUUGACAUAAAACAAAAAACAAAAAAUCCAACACUUGGGGAUGUUGUAUAGUGUGUUUACAUGCCACUUUUGCUAUGGUGAUUGUGGAGGAUUGUCGGAAUUUUCAUAAAAAAAUUUAUGAACAACUCUUGUUGUGGUUACAAAACAACUAAUCCUUUUUUUCACCUACCAUUACUUUGCAUACCCUUUUAUUUUUGUGGUCAAAUUUCUCCGCUUACUAUUAGGUCAUGCAUGUAUGCAUGAGGCCUUUAAUAUCUGCAUGAUAAAUUGUGUUUACAUGUCUCUAGAUUUUGUCAAACAAAACAAUUUGUAGGAAGUUAGAAAACAGAUUAGUCGUUGUGGAAUUUGUUUUAAUCCCACAAAACAAUAAAACACCAACACCUACAAUUGAAGUUACAGAGAGCAAUUUGUGGGAAAGAGCUCGAUUGACCCCUUGCAUGCAUGUAUCACUUCACUUGUGGAUGAAAAUUUUGGAUUUUGGAUUGUUUAUUCAAGAAGCAAUGAUACACACACGAACAAGACAUAUAAACUUAAGCAAUCUACUUGAUACACAAAUUCUUUAUUAGGUCUUCAAUAAGUUUCUCCACGUUGUUGUACGAAGUACGAGCCAGCUUCACAAACAGCAUUCUGAGCCAAUUUUGCGAACCUCUCCACAGACUUGGGAAUGUGCUCACUUGCAUGAUCUUCCUCAAAUCCCUUACAUCAGACUUAUC
rnacentral:lncRNA from 1 species